AGCAAUAUCUUGUGGAGGUGGCGCACGGGUGAGUAACACGUAGGUAAUCUGCCUUCAGGUCUGACAUAACUCCGGGAAACCGGAGCUAAUAGCAGAUGAUGCAGCGGCUUGACAUCAAGACAGUUGUUAAAGCUUCGGCGCCUGAAGAUGAGCCUGCGUCUGAUUAGCUAGUUGGCGGAGUAAUAGCCCACCAAGGCUACGAUCAGUAACUGGUCUGAGAGGAUGAUCAGUCACACUGGAACUGAGACACGGUCCAGACUCCUACGGGAGGCAGCAGUAAGGAAUAUUGCUCAAUGGGGGAAACCCUGAAGCAGCAACGCCGCGUGAAGGAUGAAGGGCUUUUGCUUGUAAACUUCUGUAGUGAGGGAAAAAACUUCCACUCUGUGGAAUAUGAUGGUACCUCAAAAGUAAGCCCCGGCUAACUACGUGCCAGCAGCCGCGGUAAUACGUAGGGGGCAAACGUUGUCCGGAUUUACUGGGUGUAAAGGGUGCUCAGGCGGUUUUGUAAGUCAGAAGUGAAAUCCUAGAGCUUAACUCUGGAACUGCUUUUGAUACUGCAAGGCUUGAAUGUGGAAGAGGAGGAUGGAAUUUCUGGUGUAGCAGUGAAAUGCGUAGAUAUCAGAAAGAACACCAGUGGCGAAGGCGGUCCUCUGGUCCACUAUUGACGCUAAAGCACGAAAGCGUGGGGAGCAAACAGGAUUAGAUACCCUGGUAGUCCACGCCUUAAACGAUGAAUACUAGACGUUGGGGUUAAACUCAGUGUCGCAGCUAACGCAUUAAGUAUUC
rnacentral:rRNA from 1 species